AGAGUUUGAUCAUGGCUCAGAUUGAACGCUGGCGGCAUGCCUUACACAUGCAAGUCGAACGGCAGCGCGGGGCAACCUGGCGGCGAGUGGCGAACGGGUGAGUAAUAUAUCGGAACGUACCCUGGAGUGGGGGAUAACGUAGCGAAAGUUACGCUAAUACCGCAUACGAUCUAAGGAUGAAAGUGGGGGAUCGCAAGACCUCAUGCUCCUGGAGCGGCCGAUAUCUGAUUAGCUAGUUGGUGGGGUAAAGGCCUACCAAGGCAUCGAUCAGUAGCUGGUCUGAGAGGACGACCAGCCACACUGGAACUGAGACACGGUCCAGACUCCUACGGGAGGCAGCAGUGGGGAAUUUUGGACAAUGGGCGCAAGCCUGAUCCAGCAAUGCCGCGUGAGUGAAGAAGGCCUUCGGGUUGUAAAGCUCUUUUGUCAGGGAAGAAACGGCCUGUUCUAAUACAGCGGGCUAAUGACGGUACCUGAAGAAUAAGCACCGGCUAACUACGUGCCAGCAGCCGCGGUAAUACGUAGGGUGCAAGCGUUAAUCGGAAUUACUGGGCGUAAAGCGUGCGCAGGCGGUUUUGUAAGACUGUCGUGAAAUCCCCGGGCUCAACCUGGGAAUGGCGAUGGUGACUGCAAGGCUAGAGUUUGGCAGAGGGGGGUAGAAUUCCACGUGUAGCAGUGAAAUGCGUAGAUAUGUGGAGGAACACCGAUGGCGAAGGCAGCCCCCUGGGUCAAAACUGACGCUCAUGCACGAAAGCGUGGGGAGCAAACAGGAUUAGAUACCCUAGUAGUCC
rnacentral:rRNA from 1 species